rnacentral:rRNA from 1 species
CCUGGCUCAGAACGAACGUUGGCGGCAUGGAUUAGGCAUGCAAGUCGGGGGAAUCCCGCAAGGGGAACCGGCGUAAGGGGCAGUAAGGCAUGGGUACCUACCCGGGGGUUCGGGAUAGCCAUCAGAGAUGGUGGGUAAUACCGGAUGACCUCGUGAGAGCAAAGAUUCAUCGCCCCCGGAGGGGCCCAUGUGAUAUUAGCUAGUUGGUGGGGUAACGGCCCACCAAGGCGAAGAUGUCUAGCGGGUGUGAGAGCACGACCCGCGCCACUCGCACUGAGACACUGGCGAGACACCUACGGGUGGCUGCAGUCGAGGAUCUUCGGCAAUGGGGGCAACCCUGACCGAGCGAUGCGCGUGCGCGAUGAAGGCCUUCGGGUUGUAAAGCGCUUUAGUGGGGGAGAAAAGCCGAGAGGUGUGAUCUAUCCCAAAAAUAAGCUCGGGCUAAGUUCGUGCCAGCAGCCGCGGUAAGACGAACCGAGCGAACGUUGUUCGGAAUCACUGGGCUUAAAGGGCGCGUAGGCGGGCUAUCAAGUCUGGGGUGAAAUGCCGCGGCUCAACCGCGGAACGGCCUCAGAUACUGACGGCCUGGAGGGAGGUAGGGGCAUGUGGAACUGUAGGUGGAGCGGUGAAAUGCGUUGAUAUCUACAGGAACUCCGGUGGCGAAAGCGACGUGCUGGACCUCUUCUGACGCUGAGGCGCGAAAGCUAGGGGAGCAAACGGGAUUAGAUACCCCGGUAGUCCUAGCCCUAAACGAUGGGUACUAGAUAGUAGACCCAGAUAUGGGUUUACUGUCGAAGUUAAAAUGCUAAGUACCCCGCCUGGGGAGUAUGGUCGCAAGGCUGAAACUCAAAGAAAUUGACGGGGGCUCACACAAGCGGUGG